AAGGCGAUCGAAGAGCUCCCUUCGAUCCAAUCCAGGAGGGGAAGUGGUCGGUUGCAGCUGCCGGUUCAUGGAUACCUCUCUGGUGCAGCAAUGGCCGCUGCUCACCUCUGCACUUGCAUGGGUGUGCAUGACCCGGGAGAUGAGCCCGCCAUCAUCUUUCCCUCGUGCUUGGAUUGAAGGGAGCUCCUCUCUGUCUGUCU
rnacentral:pre_miRNA from 1 species